rnacentral:rRNA from 1 species
UACGAAGGGGGCUAGCGUUGCUCGGAAUCACUGGGCGUAAAGCGCACGUAGGCGGACUCUUAAGUCAGGGGUGAAAUCCUGGAGCUCAACUCCAGAACUGCCUUUGAUACUGGGAGCCUUGAGUUCGGGAGAGGUGAGUGGAACUGCGAGCGUAGAGGUGAAAUUCGUAGAUAUUCGCAAGAACACCAGUGGCGAAGGCGGCUCACUGGCCCGAUACUGACGCUGAGGUGCGAAAGCGUGGGGAGCAAACAGG